GAUGAAGAACGUAGCGAAAUGCGAUACGUAAUGUGAAUUGCAAAUUCAGUGAAUCAUCGAGUCUUUGAACGCACAUUGCGCCCCCUGGUAUUCCGGGGGGCAUGCCUGUCCGAGCGUCAUUGCUGCCCUCAAGCACGGCUUGUGUGUUGGGCCCCGUCCUCCGAUCCCGGGGGACGGGCCCGAAAGGCAGCGGCGGCACCGCGUCCGGUCCUCGAGCGUAUGGGGCUUUGUCACCCGCUCUGUAGGCCCGGCCGGCGCUUGCCGAUCAACCCAAAUUUUUAUCCAGGUUGACCUCGGAUCAGGUAGGGAUACCCGCUGAACUUAAGCAUAUCAAUGCGGAGGA
rnacentral:misc_RNA from 1 species